UACAGAGGUCCCAAGCGUUGUUCGGAUUCAUUGGGCGUAAAGGGUGCGUAGGCGGCGCCGUAAGUCGGAUGUGAAAUCUCGGGGCUCAACCCUGAAACUGCAUUCGAUACUGCGGUGCUAGAGGACUGGAGAGGAAACUGGAAUUCACGGUGUAGCAGUGAAAAUGCGUAGAUAUCGCGAGGAAGACCUGUGGCGAAGGCGGGUUUCUGGACAGUUCCUGACGCUGAGGCACGAAGGCCAGGGGAGCAAACGGG
rnacentral:rRNA from 1 species